UAAAAGAUAGGCUAAUUAUUUAAGCCUUUGGGAUGAUACUCCAAGGAUAAAAUUUAUUUUUCUUUUAA
rnacentral:tRNA from 1 species